UAGGGAAUCUUCCCGCAGUGGACGGAAGUCUGACCGAGCAACGCCGCGUGAGUGAAGAAGGUUUUCGGAUCGUAAAGCUCUGUUGUAAGAGAAGAACGAGUGUGAGAGUGGAAAGUUCACACUGUGACGGUAUCUUACCAGAAAGGGACGGCUAACUACGUGCCAGCAGCCGCGGUAAUACGUAGGUCCCGAGCGUUGUCCGGAUUUAUUGGGCGUAAAGCGAGCGCAGGCGGUUAGAUAAGUCUGAAGUUAAAGGCUGUGGCUUAACCAUAGUACGCUUUGGAAACUGUUUAACUUGAGUGCAAGAGGGGAGAGUGGAAUUCCAUGUGUAGCGGUGAAAUGCGUAGAUAUAUGGAGGAACACCGGUGGCGAAAGCGGCUCUCUGGCUUGUAACUGACGCUGAGGCUCGAAAGCGUGGGGAGCAAACAGGAUUAGAUACCCUGGUAGUCCACGCCGUAAACGAUGAGUGCUAGGUGUUAGACCCUUUCCGGGGUUUAGUGCCGCAGCUAACGCAUUAAGCACUCCGCCUGGGGAGUACGACCGCAAGGUUG
rnacentral:rRNA from 1 species